UCCCUGGCAGUCCAGUGGUUAGGACUCCAUGCUUUCACUAUGAGGGCCCAGGUUCAAUCCCUGGUCAGGGAA
rnacentral:tRNA from 2 species